UGCCAAGUAAAAAUAUUACAGAAAGAGUACAUGAUUUGUCUGUUUUUACGUUGCAAAGAAAGUAUGUCACACCCUGAUGAUUGCUGAUACUACUUGAAGCAAAGUUCUACAAAUCAUGGUGUAAUAAAAACACCCUAUAUUAGCUUUUCACGGGCGUAUUAUGUACCGUUGGCGGUACUCUUGUUAAAUCUCUAUUGAUAUCCAUCGAAUGACCGGUUUUUAAAGUCUUUAUUUAUAUCAAGCACGAGGUAGUCCAGAUUUCUCCUUUCUAUUAUAAUUCUCUUUUGUAAUAAAGAAAAUUAUAUCCAGAAGGCAAGACUGGACAAUUUUGUGUUGUUGAUGAAAGUCAUAAAUCUGCAAAAAACUAUACCAGCCAUGUGAUAAUUGAAGAGCGUUUUUUGAAGAUGGAAAAUAAAAUUAUCGAAAUUGGGACCAUACAACUUUAACAAGUUCAAGUAGUAUAAAUAGGGGUGUAUUCGAUUAAGCGACUCAAGUUGCACGGAUUUUACUCCCGACCAAUCGAACGCCGAGAGUUAACGAUUCGUGUUAUACACGACUGACACGAGUAUACUCUCCAAUUUUCCAGGAGUAUAAGAGUUGAAAGAUGGCGGCAAAAGGGAAUUACCAGUAAGUCAGCUUGUAAAAAAUCAUCUAUUUUGAGCAGAAUAUGGUGUUUAAGUAUAUGUUCGCUAGUACAUUUAGAAAAUGUAUAUAUUUUGAUUUUAAUAAUAGCAAUUAUUAAUCAAAUGACAAAUUAGAAAUUGAUGAAUAUGCUUAAUGCAUCUUUUAUAAAUUGCUGCGGCAUGUGAUUUUCCCCUUUUAUUGUUAUUUUAAAAUGUUUUUCGUGCUAUAUUAUAUAAAAAAAAAUUAAUAUUUUGACACCGCAAAAUUAAUCCUGUAAAUUACGUUGACUUUUGCAAUUGCAAUAUUCAUACUAAUUUUAAUCAAUUCGUCAUUCCUUAGCUUCUUAAUAUCUAUAAAUAUUGAUGGUAAAGAGUACCAGGUCAUGGGCAAUUGAUCUUAUAGAGAUGCUUAAUUCAGACGGAAGAAAGAAAGCUGUCUUUGUUUUAACAGACCAGAGAAGAAAAGACCACGCACUUGAACUUGUAAGAGCAAGUUGUCAUAUUGAUGACUGCACAAAAUCAUGUGGUGCAUAAUGCAGAAUCUGAGCAACCUGACCAAAAGGUUUGGAAUAAGGAAAACAUAAAGACAUUAGAAGCAAAAAGGAAAAAGAAUUUUAACAGUAACAAAGUCCAUAAAUCUCUUUGGGAAAGUGUGUGUAAGGAAUUAUCUGAUGUUGGUGUAACAACCACUGCAACACAAUGCAUGAACAAAUGGAAGGCGAUGAAGUUGACAAUAAUGCGCAAACAGGAGCAGAAAAGAAAACAUGUCCAUUUUUAAAGCAGUUUGGAGAAUUUUAUGGACAUAAAAGUGAUACCCAACCCACAUAUACAUUGUCUUCAGGAAUCCAACAAAAUGAGUAUUCAAAAAAUGAAAAUGAUGAAGAAGCAGAGGGUUCUAAAGAUUAUAAUUCCUCGAACGUUGUACUCCUUCGAAGAGGAAACCUCUCAAGCGCAAGAAGAAUAACCAAUAUGCAAUCUUUGCUUUUGAGGAAACCACAAAAAGACAAAAGGAAUACAGAAAAGAAAGGUUGGAGGUUUUAAAAAAGGAACCUGGGGAAAUAAUGAACCCGAUGGAGAAACAUAUUGAAUACCUACAAUCAAAGCAGCCUAAAACUGAUCAAUAAUUGAUAAGUACAUGUAAUUGUAAAUAAAUAUCAAUUGCGUCUUUGUAGAUAAUUAGAAAAAUACGGAUACAACUUGAAUUUUAUUACUUCACCAAGAGUAAUGAGGACUACUGCAAGGACUUGCAGAUGUAUUUUUUCCAACUCCCAAAGUAACAAAGUGUUUUAACUCACCCUUUUUAUAUUGUACACCUGAAAUGCCAAUAGAAAAAGUUGAUGAUUCGUUGUCAUGUGAAAUUUCCACCAGGUGUAUUAAACCAGAUACUUUACUUAAA